rnacentral:miRNA from 1 species
GUGAAGGAUCAGAACAGCGUGCUU